GGGUGCGAUCAUACUAGCAUUAAUGCACUGGAUCCCAUUAGAACUCCGCAGUUAAGCGCACUUGGGCUAGAGUAGUACUGGGAUGGGUGACCUCCCGGGAAGUCCUAGUGUUGCACCCU
rnacentral:rRNA from 1 species